UACGGGGGGGGCAAGCGUUGUUCGGAAUCACUGGGCGUAAAGAGCUCGUAGGCGGUUAAUUAAGUCAUAUGUGAAAGUCCAGGGCUCAACCCUGGGAUGCGGGUGGAUACUGCCGGGCUCGAGUCCGGAAGAGGCGAGUGGAAUUCCCGGUGUAGCGGUGAAAUGCGCAGAUAUCGGGAGGAACACCAAUGGCGAAGGCAGCUCGCUGGGACGUGACUGACGCUGAGACGCGAAAGCGUGGGGAGCAAACAGG
rnacentral:rRNA from 1 species